rnacentral:rRNA from 1 species
GAUGAACGCUGACAGAAUGCUUAACACAUGCAAGUCUACUUGAUUCUACUUCGGUAGUUGAUGGUGGCGGACGGGUGAGUAACGCGUAAAGAAUCUGCCCUUUAGUUUGGGAUAACCUUUGGAAACGAAGGCUAAUACCGGAUAUUAUGGAGACGUCGCAUGGCGACUCCAUGAAAGCUAUAUGCGCUAGAGGAGGACUUUGCGUCCCAUUAGUUAGUUGGUGAGGUAAUGGCUCACCAAGACCGCGAUGGGUAGCCGGCCUGAGAGGGUGAUCGGCCACAAGGGAACGGAGACACGGUCCGUACUCCUACGGGAGGCAGCAGUGGGGAAUAUUGGACAAUGGGCGACAAGCCUGAUCCAGCAAUUCUGUGUGCACGAUGAAGGUCUUCGGAUUGUAAAGUGUUUUCAGAAGGGAAGAAAAAAAUGACGGUACCUACAGAAGAAGCGACGGCUAAAUAUGUGCCAGCAGCCGCCGUAACAC